CCGGCGGGGGCCGGGGAGGGGGAUAGGUUGAAGGGGUGGGGGGGCAUAGGAGGAUGUAGAGAGUGAGGACGAAUGGACGGAGGGAUGGACGCACGGAUGGACGGAUGGACGCAAAAAAAGGAAAAAGGAAAAACAAAAUGGAGAAAGAAAAAAAACGGUAAGAAAACCACAACUCAAGAUGCACAACCACACAGAGAAAACGCAUGCAGGAGCGACACAAAAAAAUCUGGAAGGUGGCGGGGAGGAUGUUGAACUGUAAGCCCGAAAGCCAGAACUCUCACUCCCCCGGUAUCUCCUAGGUCUCUGGAAUGUUAUGUCCGGGAGCAAGCAUGGGUCCAGGAGGCAGGGAGGCCCAUGUCUCUCUGUCCACUUAGCUUUCUGGGCUGACAGUCUAGAAGACGCAUGCAGGAAUCAAGGUCUCAGACAGGUAAGAGGCCACAGAGGACAAAAAUAAAUAAACAAAAAUAAAACCACAAGCCGAGAGGGAGUGGAAGGCAGGAAAAUGAGAGGGGUUAGGGGCAUCAGAAGUUUAAGCUCGGGGAUCACAGGUGUUAAGUCAAGGAGAGGUAUGAGAGUGUAAGUGAAGAGGGACCCAAAGUAUAAAUCAAAGGUAUAAACCAAGGGUGCUAAGGUAUAUUAAAAUCCAAAAACCCAAGAAAGCAAGACAUGCAGGGCGGCUCCCAGAGUCCCAUCAGCAGGAUGGAGAGAGAAACUCGGGGAGUCCCCAGGGAUGGUGUCACCAGCCCUCAGGCCAGCCCUGAAUUCCACCAGCAGGUUUUCUCCCAGCAUCCCGAGAAGCAGCAGACAAACGCCACGGACCUCCCCACCUCCCCACCCUG
rnacentral:lncRNA from 10 species